CAAAAGUUACCUUUGGAAAUGCCAAUUAGGAGUCCGCAAUGGUCGAAACCUGCGACCUCUUCGCUGGAAGCCCGAAGCCCUCGCCGGCGAAAGGGAGAAGAGCGCGCCGGUCUUGCUGGAGUGUGAUCUGGGGAGGAGAUGGGUGGGGGAACCAAGGAUAGAGUUAAAGACUAGAGAGGUAGAGUUGGCUCCGGCAGCCGCCCAGCGCCGCUCGCCGUGGAAACAGGAGCCGCCUCUGGAGAGGAAGGAGAGAGUAAUACGGAGAACAUCUAGUGCCUCGCCAUGGUCACAUCAUUUUCUCUUGUUUUCUUUUCUUCUCGUCUCUAUCCAAUAUUCCCUUUCUAUUGCUCUGCAUCGGAGUGUCUAGAAGAUUAUAUAUUACAGGCUUACAGUUUAGCAGAGAAACAAAGAACGAGAAAUUUAGCUAUGUCUCCCGGCAAGAAAUUUAGCUAUAUGUCACUACCUUGGACAAAAUGUCACCUUCCUUUCUCACAAAGAACAGAAGAUAACCGUGAGUCUCCAGGAGCUACUUAGGCCCUGCUUAAUUCCUAAAACAGAAAAAAUCACCUUGUCACAUUAAAUGUUUAGACUAUGAGAAAAAUCAAUUACACAGGUUACACAUAAAUUACAGACAAUUUUUUAAACCUAAUUGUGCCAUGAUUUUAAUAUAGUACUACAAUAGACAUUUACUAAUGAUAGAUUAAUUAGGUUUAAUAAAAUUGCCUCGUAGUUUUCUAACGGAAUCUAUAAUUUAUUUUAGUAUUAGACUAUGUUACAAUCAAACCCAAAAAAUAAACAAGGUCUUACUACAAACCAACACCAGGUCCUUUGACAUGGGCUGC
rnacentral:lncRNA from 1 species